AAUAUCGUUCACAUAAGUUUGUUUAUUUUCGUUUAAAUUCGUUCGUUUUUCCGUUUGUGAACGAUAUUGUCGCGUUAGAUAGGUUCGAUAAUUUUUAUGUCAUGUUUGUAGAUAAAUUGUUAGGGUUAGAUAGGCCGGUGUUUUCCUCUAGAAGCGAAAAAGUGGUGCUGAAUCCAGUCUCGGCGGGUAUGUUGUGGUCGGCAGCCAUCGCGGGAUGAUCAGUUGAGCCUCGACCACGUUUUUGUCUCGCAAAAAAGCGAAGGUUGUGCCGCUUUGUGUUGUGUAAGUCCAACGAAGGUUGUUCCGUUGGCCUGUGGAUCGUGUACUGCUGGUUUGUGUUGCUCGCCGGAUUGGUAAGCAGUGUUCGCUACCCCGGCUAAUCGCCAAGGAGCAAAGGGAGAAGACACCACCCCGCCGGAGAUUGCUGCAGCAAGCGCUGUUGGAUACCGCCAGACCGACGUCGAGCAGCAGCAUCGCCGCAGCCUCCCCUUCCCACCACAAAACAGCAAGAGGAAAAGGACGGAAUAAACGCGGAUAAGGUUUUGUUUA